GAUGAAGAACGCAGCGAAAUGCGAUAAGUAAUGUGAAUUGCAGAAUUCAGUGAAUCAUCGAGUCUUUGAACGCACAUUGCGCCCCCUGGUAUUCCGGGGGGCAUGCCUGUCCGAGCGUCAUUGCUGCCCUCAAGCACGGCUUGUGUGUCGGGCCCCCGUCCCCGGUUUCCCCCGGGGACGGGCCCGAAAGGCAGCGGCGGCACCGCGUCCGGUCCUCGAGCGUAUGGGGCUUUGUCACCCGCUCUGUAGGCCCGGCCGGCGCCAGCCGACACCCAACUUUAUUUCUAAGGUUGACCUCGGAUCAGGUAGGGAUACCCGCUGAACUUAAGCAUAUCAAUAAGCGGAGGA
rnacentral:misc_RNA from 1 species